CCGAAAGGUUCUGGUAACUAUCGAUUUGGUGGAAACGAGACACAAAUCAAUCCAGCUUGCGAACAGCACGGUUUGAAACCCUGCAAUUCUUUUUAUUUUUUUUUGAUAUUUUUUUUACUUAGGAGCACUCAAGAAGUAACCAUAGGAAAUUUGAGCUUAAACAAUUGAAAGACGUGGCCUGUGGAAUUUUUUGAAGAUUGCGAAAAAUAUAAAAAAAACUUUAAGAGGUGAAAACUCAAACUUUAGGAGUGAAUUUGGGAUUCUAAAAUUAUCGAACCCACCUCUAGCGGAGAUAGACAGAUCCAUAAAUUUGUUCUGAUCGAUUUGGAUAUAUGGAACGUCAAAAUCGGAGUUCAUAUGCGAAAGAUAUGGCUGUUUUACGAACGGACUCCGAAUUAGAGGACAAAACGGUCCGGAAGUGGGAAAAAUUUGCGGUGGUGGCUAGAAAUUGAUGGAAACGGUGGAAAAAAACACACAAACUGGACUCUAACAAGACCAAAUCGGUAACAAGACCUCGACCACGACACAAACUCAACACUACGGACUCUGAAACUGAAAUAUGCAAAGGUUAUGGCGCGGAUGGGUUGUAGGACAUGAAAACAAUUUGGCACUAGACUUAUGGGACGAACACAAGGACACUCGAAACUAAGGGUACAUGUGAACCUAACUAUACGUCUGAAGCUUUGAUUACCACUUGAGGAGAACAAGGCCCGAUCUUCCGAAAGGUUCUGGUAACUAUCAAUUUGGUGGAAACGAGACACAAAUCAUUCCAGUUUGCGAACAACACGAUUCGAAAUCCUGCAAUUCUUUUUAUAUUUUUUGAUAUUUUUCUUUUACUUAGGAGCACUCAAGAAGUAACCACAGGAAAUUUGAGCUUAAACAAGUGAAGGACGUGACCUGUGGAAUUUUUUGAAGAUUGCGAAAAAUAUGAAAAUAAAGUUUAGGAGGUGAAAACUCAAAAUUUCAGAGGCGAGUUUGGGAAUUGUAAAUUUGUUGCACCGCCUAUGGCGGGGAUAGACAGAUCCAAAAAAUUUUUCUGAUCGAUUUUGAAAUAUGGAACGUCAAAAUCAGAGUUCGUAGGCGAAAGUUAUGGCUGUUUUACGAACGGACUCCGAAUUAGAGGAUAAAACGGUCCGGAAGUGGGAAAAAUUUGCGGUGGUGGCUAGAAAUUAAUGGAAAUGGUGGGAAAAACACACAAACUAGACUCUAACAAGACCUAACCAGUAACAAGAUCUCGACCAGGACACAAACUCAACACUACGGACUCUGAAAAUGAAAUAUGCAAAGGCUAUGGCGCGGAUGGGUUGUAGGACAUGAAAAGAAUAUGGCACCAGACUUAUGGGACGAACACAAGGACACUCAAAACUAAAGGUAGAUGUGAACCUAACGGUAUGUCUGAAGCUUUGAUUACCACUUGAGGAGAAUAAGUGUGUCCCGAUCUUCCGAAAGGUUCUGGUAACUAUCGAUUUGGUGGAAACGAGACACAAAUCAAUCCAGCUUGCGAACAGCACGGUUCGAAACCCUGCAAUUCUUUUUAUUUUUUUUUUGAUAUUUUUCUUUUACUUAGAAGCACUCAAGAAGUAACCAUAGGAAAUUUGAGCUUAAACAAUUGAAAGACGUGGCCUGUGGAAUUUUUUGAAGAUUGCGAAAAAUAUAAAAAAAACUUUAAGAGGUGAAAACUCAAACUUUAGGAGUGAAUUUGGGAUUCUAAAAUUAUCGAACCCACCUCUAGCGGAGAUAGACAGAUCCAUAAAUUUGUUCUGAUCGAUUUGGAUAUAUGGAAUGUCAAAAUCGGAGUUCAUAUGCGAAAGUUAUGGCUGUUUUACGAACGGACUCCGAAUUAGAGGACAAAACGGUCCGGAAGUGGGAAAAAUUUGCGGUGGUGGCUAGAAAUUGAUGGAAACGGUGGAAAAAAACACACAAACUGGACUCUAACAAGACCAAAUCGGUAACAAGACCUCGACCACGACACAAACUCAACACUACGGACUGUGAAACUGAAAUAUGCAAAGGUUAUGGCGCGGAUGGGUUGUAGGACAUGAAAACAAUUUGGCACUAGACUUAUGGGACGAACACAAGGACACUCGAAACUAAGGGUACAUGUGAACCUAACUAUACGUCUGAAGCUUUGAUUACCACUUGAGGAGAACAAGGCCCGAUCUUCCGAAAGGUUCUGGUAACUAUCAAUUUGGUGGAAACGAGACACAAAUCAUUCCAGUUUGCGAACAACAUGAUUCGAAACCCUGCAAUUCUUUUUAUAUUUUUUGAUAUUUUUCUUUUACUUAGGAGCACUCAAGAAGUAACCACAGGAAAUUUGAGCUUAAACAAGUGAAGGACGUGACCUGUGGAAUUUUUUGAAGAUUGCGAAAAAUAUGAAAAUAAAGUUUAGGAGGUGAAAACUCAAAAUUUCAGAGGCGAGUUUGGGAAUUGUAAAUUUGUUGCACCGCCUAUGGCGGGGAUAGACAGAUCCAAAAAAUUUUUCUGAUCGAUUUUGAAAUAUGGAACGUCAAAAUCAGAGUUCGUAGGCGAAAGUUAUGGCUGUUUUACGAACGGACUCCGAAUUAGAGGAUAAAACGGUCCGGAAGUGGGAAAAAUUUGCGGUGGUGGCUAGAAAUUAAUGGAAAUGGUGGGAAAAACACACAAACUAGACUCUAACAAGACCUAACCAGUAACAAGAUCUCGACCAGGACACAAACUCAACACUACGGACUCUGAAAAUGAAAUAUGCAAAGGCUAUGGCGCGGAUGGGUUGUAGGACAUGAAAAGAAUAUGGCACCAGACUUAUGGGACGAACACAAGGACACUCGAAACUAAAGGUAGAUGUGAACCUAACGGUAUGUCUGAAGCUUUGAUUAUCACUUGAGGAGAAUAAGUGUGUCCCGAUCUUCCGAAAGGUUCUGGUAACUAUCGAUUUGGUGGAAACGAGACACAAAUCAAUCCAGCUUGCGAACAGCACGGUUUGAAACCCUGCAAUUCUUUUUAUUUUUUUUUGAUAUUUUUUUUACUUAGGAGCACUCAAGAAGUAACCAUAGGAAAUUUGAGCUUAAACAAUUGAAAGACGUGGCCUGUGGAAUUUUUUGAAGAUUGCGAAAAAUAUAAAAAAAACUUUAAGAGGUGAAAACUCAAACUUUAGGAGUGAAUUUGGGAUUCUAAAAUUAUCGAACCCACCUCUAGCGGAGAUAGACAGAUCCAUAAAUUUGUUC
rnacentral:lncRNA from 1 species